rnacentral:lncRNA from 1 species
GCACUUUUGACCCCAUUCUGCUCGGAACACUAAAAGAUUCAACUGAACAGCGGUCAAAAUAUGAAGAUUUGGAAUACUCAACUCACCCAAGCAUGUUAAAAUGCAUUAGUACGACACUCAAAAAUCCAAGCUGAGAUAGAAGGGCCAAAGGGGACUGGGAGACUAGUCAGGAUCGAGGGAAAGAUGAAUGGAGCAAAGUAUAGAGAGAUCCUGGAUAAAAACCUCCAGAGCAUUCAGGACCUAAGACUGGGGCGAAGGUUCAUCUUCCAACAGGACACCUAAUCACACAGCCAAGACGAUGCAGGAGUGGCCCCGGGACAAGGGGUCUGAAUACUUUCCGAAUGCACUGUACUAUACGUAGUUUGUGGUCUUCAUUUCUAAUGGGUUUUCUUUCAGAGAAAAAUGUUCCCCCGGGUUCCCCUGAAGAAAUGAUCAAUACCUAAUUAUAGAAUACUGUGUGAGAUACAAUGUGCAAUACUGUGUUUUCAGAGAGGGAGCGAGAAAGGGAUUCCUCACCGUCUAGUUAAUGCUUUCAGAUCACCUCACAUCGAUCCUUCACAUGAAGUUGUCCUUUUAAAUAAUUUAACAACAAUAUGUCUUUUUCACUAUACCACACUUGGGUAAACAAUGUUGAGGAUUGUUUCUAUGAAUACUAACAGAAUCAGAACGAUGGGCAUAUAGCCUACCAUCAAAUCAAACUUUAUUUAAAGUGUAUUUAUCGCAACACAUGGUACGGUAAAAACAGUACAAAAACAAUACAUUGGAAUAACAUUAUUACCACAAAUUCUGAUUGUCUUUGCUUAUCUUGUAGGUGGCUUGUCCAUCUCACAGGGCCCCAGUAAGACUUUGGAUCCGUAGGGUAAAGAUAAUAGAUGUAUUAUUCAUUGUGAGUGGAGAUCACCUUAUUAUUCUGUAAGAGCUGCGUUCAUGGUCACCAGAACACAGUCUGUGUCCCAAUGCACUGGCAUGGCCUUGUACUGUCUGUGAAUCCAAUGUUAGCAUAACGUUAUAUGUAAGUUAGAGUAAAGACCAACAGUGGUCCUCUGUAGCUCAGUUGGUAGAGCAUAGCGCUUGCAAUGCCAAAAUAGUGGGUUCUACUCCUAUAUGAAAAAAUCAUGCACUGUAACUCGCUUUGGACAAAAGCGUCUGCUAAAUGGCAUAUAUAUAGA